rnacentral:rRNA from 1 species
GACAGAGGGUGCAAACGUUGUUCGGAAUUACUGGGCGUAAAGCGCGUGUAGGCGGCUAAGUAAGUCGGGCGUGAAAUCCCACGGCUCAACCGUGGAAGUGCACUCGAAACUGCAUAGCUAGAGUCCUGGAGAGGAAGGUGGAAUGCUUGGUGUAGAGGUGAAAUUCGUAGAUAUCAAGCGGAACACCGGUGGCGAAGGCGGCCUUCUGGACAGUGACUGACGCUGAGACGCGGAAAGCGGUGGGGAGCAAACAGGG